ensembl:lncRNA
CCACCUAUUUCUGAUCACUCAAUAAGGAGACAUUUUACUUUUCAUUCCUCCUCCCUUCUAUUUCCUACCAGGCCUAUAUAAAGCUGCUAAAUGUGAAUUUCUUUCUACUAUUAACAAAUGGACUAGGAAACAAGAGGAGUUCUAAAUACUAUUUACUUUGGUAAUACAAACUAAUAGCUGUAAAGUGCAGUAUUGGCUGAGAGUCACGGUGAGUAACUGACUUCCUAAGUGCUGCUAGUGAUAUCAAAAGACCAAAAAAAGACUGUCCCUUGAACUAAAACAGCUUUAAAACUGUAAAUCUUGUGCCCAGCCCCAUCCCGAGGAACUUGUGGAGUGAGAUCACAUCAAGUUUUGCACUCUUUCUUAUCUAUAUGCUCCUGAGAUAACUGGGUCACAGUAUCAAACACACCCUCACAGAAGGAUUAGGGUGUGGGUCCUAAUUAAUUUCUUGCCAAUUUGCAGGUGGGAUGAUUGCCCUCUGAUUUAUAUACCACUCAGCUUAGCAGAAAGAAAGAAGCUUGGUUUUUUGUCCUCUUCUGACUAAGGGUUUUACUGAUAUUCCUGUCUCCUAAAGCCUAACAGUUCUCUGGAGAAGUCUGCCAGCAGGAUUAUUGCUGUACGCCUUCAUCAUGGGAAAUAAUAUCAGCCACGAGAGCUAUUGCAGGAGGUCUGGGAAGCCUGAAAAGCAAGCAGCUGAGCAAGAAAAGGCAGAAGCUGAUCCUUCUACUGCCCAGGAAUCUCUGCUGGGGAGCAGUGAGAAUCCUCUUCCAAAGGAGAAAUCGCUGGAUGCUGCUGUGGGGAUGCAGAACAAAGAGACAGAAACAGCCUCAUCUUCCCUGCAAUGCAUGCAGGAUUCUGUGCCACAGGCAGCAGUACAAAGCAUGGAGAUGGAAGACCAUGGAGGGUGCUGCAACAGCUCAGCCAGCUGCAGGAGAUGCAGAAGUGACAAAAACUGACCUGGCUCUGCAAGCUGCUGGAGAGGUGGGAGAUAAAGAGGCAGAAGAUGUGGUGACCAACCAGGCAGCAGUGGAAAAACACUCGUCGGUGUACAAGAGAUCGAGUGGAAGGCUGUGCAAGCCAAGUCCUCUCUGCAGGUGGCUGAAGAAACUCAAGUCCUCUGCUGAGAAGAAGUAAGGUCAGGACUGAAGCAAUUACCACUCAAGAGUGAGGCUUCCUAUGAACUAUAAAAGGACUAUUAAGUGCCUCCUGGGAGAGGGGAAAAAAAGACUAAGUGUUAAAGUAGAAAGAAAAUAUUUUGUCAUCUUCAAGCUGUAUGUCUGCUGUGUAGUUCUGGCUGUUGUACAGGCCUGGGUGCAAUAUAGAGGGCAUCCCAUCUGGAUGUAAGAGAAAGGGAAACCUGAACUCCAGCUUGUGAGCUUGCCUUUUUCUGCUGCUUGCUGGGCUUUGUCUUUAAUAGCUUUCUUUCUGAACCUAUGUAAAAGUGCAGUGUACAGAUUUCUAUCUUUAUGGUGCUUCCCACCACUGUUUGACUUCCCUUCGCUUGCUUUUAAUAACUUGCUCUGUCUGAUUAGGCCAAGCUUAGUGCAUUAGUAUUAUCAAACUGAAUAAAUGCCUUGUAAAAAAACA